GUCGAGCGAACAGAUAAGGAGCUUGCUCCUUUGACGUUAGCGGCGGACGGGUGAGUAACACGUGGGUAACCUACCUAUAAGACUGGGAUAACUUCGGGAAACCGGAGCUAAUACCGGAUAACAUUUGGAACCGCAUGGUUCUAAAGUGAAAGAUGGUUUUGCUAUCACUUAUAGAUGGACCCGCGCCGUAUUAGCUAGUUGGUAAGGUAACGGCUUACCAAGGCGACGAUACGUAGCCGACCUGAGAGGGUGAUCGGCCACACUGGAACUGAGACACGGUCCAGACUCCUACGGGAGGCAGCAGUAGGGAAUCUUCCGCAAUGGGCGAAAGCCUGACGGAGCAACGCCGCGUGAGUGAUGAAGGGUUUCGGCUCGUAAAACUCUGUUAUUAGGGAAGAACAAAUGUGUAAGUAACUGUGCACGUCUUGACGGUACCUAAUCAGAAAGCCACGGCUAACUACGUGCCAGCAGCCGCGGUAAUACGUAGGUGGCAAGCGUUAUCCGGAAUUAUUGGGCGUAAAGCGCGCGUAGGCGGUUUCUUAAGUCUGAUGUGAAAGCCCACGGCUCAACCGUGGAGGGUCAUUGGAAACUGGGAAACUUGAGUGCAGAAGAGGAAAGUGGAAUUCCAUGUGUAGCGGUGAAAUGCGCAGAGAUAUGGAGGAACACCAGUGGCGAAGGCGACUUUCUGGUCUGUAACUGACGCUGAUGUGCGAAAGCGUGGGGAUCAAACAGGAUUAGAUACCCUGGUAGUCCACGCCGUAAACGAUGAGUGCUAAGUGUUAGGGGGUUUCCGCCCCUUA
rnacentral:rRNA from 1 species